rnacentral:lncRNA from 1 species
GAUGCUGACGCUGCUGGUUUCAGGACCAUCCACUGAGAUCCACAACUAAUGUACCACAUGCAAGACAUAGGAAUUCCACAGUGAAUCUGUGAGUCAGUCAGUUGAAUUGCUGGCUAUGAGGAUGUUGCCACAGCAUGGCUUGACCAGCCGCGCUAGGUCUGUGCCCAGGAUCCAAACCUGUGAAUCCUGGGCUGCCAAAGUGGAGUGCAAGAACUUACCCACUAUACGACCUGGCCAGCCUGCAAAAUGACAUUUUUUGCAUUCAAUCAUUCUUUCUGAAUUAGUUGGACUUCUAUUUGGUUAACAUGAAACAGUUAACUAAGGAGAUAAGAUAAAUGCUUGAUUCCAUGACUUUGUCCAAUUUCAGCACAAUGAGGCAGCCAGCAACUUCCAAAUUUGACAAAUGAGCUUUUCAUCUUUCAAAAUGUUAUGAUGAACUUAAGGAUUUUAUGUAUGUAUAUAUUUUAUAAAUUAAUGUGAAUUAAAGCUUUAUAUACUUAUAUUUUAUAUAUUUAAAAUGUGUAAUAUAUUUUAUAUAUUUCAAUCCUUUGCAAUGAAUUGCAAUGGAUGCUCAACUUGUUUCCAUCUCAAUUUUAAGAAGAUUCCUCUUAAACUCGGUAUAUAACUUCUUUCAUAUCAUUUUGGCUAUUUUUAUAACUAUACUUAGAACUAAAAUAUGCUUAUUGUAGAAAAUUUAGAGAAUAAAGACUCACCUAAAGAUGAAAAUGAA